GAUGAACGCUGGCGGCGUGCCUAAUACAUGCAAGUCGAGCGAACAGACGAGGAGCUUGCUCCUCUGACGUUAGCGGCGGACGGGUGAGUAACACGUGGAUAACCUACCUAUAAGACUGGGAUAACUUCGGGAAACCGGAGCUAAAACCGGAUAAUAUAUUGAACCGCAUGGUUCAAUAGUGAAAGACGGUUUUGCUGUCACUUAUAGAUGGAUCCGCGCCGCAUUAGCUAGUUGGUAAGGUAACGGCUUGCCAAGGCAACGAUGCGUAGCCGACCUGAGAGGGUGAUCGGCCACACUGGAACUGAGACACGGUCCAGACUCCUACGGGAGGCAGCAGUAGGGAAUCUUCCGCAAUGGGCGAAAGCCUGACGGAGCAACGCCGCGUGAGUGAUGAAGGUCUUCGGAUCGUAAAACUCUGUUAUUAGGGAAGAACAAAUGUGUAAGUAACUAUGCACGUCUUGACGGUACCUAAUCAGAAAGCCACGGCUAACUACGUG
rnacentral:rRNA from 1 species